rnacentral:rRNA from 1 species
GACGAACGCUGGCGGCGUGCCUAAUACAUGCAAGUAGAACGCUGAAGAGAGGAGCUUGCUCUUCUUGGAUGAGUUGCGAACGGGUGAGUAACGCGUAGGUAACCUGCCUUGUAGCGGGGGAUAACUAUUGGAAACGAUAGCUAAUACCGCAUAACAAUGGAUGACACAUGUCAUUUAUUUGAAAGGGGCAAUUGCUCCACUACAAGAUGGACCUGCGUUGUAUUAGCUAGUAGGUGAGGUAAUGGCUCACCUAGGCGACGAUACAUAGCCGACCUGAGAGGGUGAUCGGCCACACUGGGACUGAGACACGGCCCAGACUCUUACGGGAGGCAGCAGUAGGGAAUCUUCGGCAAUGGGGGCAACCCUGACCGAGCAACGCCGCGUGAGUGAAGAAGGUUUUCGGAUCGUAAAGCUCUGUUGUAAGUCAAGAACGGGUGUGAGAGUGGAAAGUUCACACUGUGACGGUAGCUUACCAGAAAGGGACGGCUAACUACGUGCCAGCAGCCGCGGUAAUACGUAGGUCCCGAGCGUUGUCCGGAUUUAUUGGUCGUAAAGCGAGCGCAGGCGGUUUGAUAAGUCUGAAGUUAAAGGCUGUGGCUCAACCAUAGUUCGCUUUGGAAACUGUCAAACUUGAGUGCAGAAGGGGAGAGUGGAAUUCCAUGUGUAGCGGUGAAAUGCGUAGAUAUAUGGAGGAACACCGGUGGCGAAAGCGGCUCUCUGGUCUGUAACUGACGCUGAGGCUCGAAAGCGUGGGGAGCGAACAGGAUUAGAUACCCUGGUAGUCCACGCCGUAAACGAUGAGUGCUAGGUGUUGGAUCCUUUCCGGGAUUCAGUGCCGCAGCUAACGCAUUAAGCACUCCGCCUGGGGAGUACGACCGCAAGGUUGAAACUCAAAGGAAUUGACGGGGGCCCGCACAAGCGGUGGAGCAUGUGGUUUAAUUCGAAGCAACGCGAAGAACCUUACCAGGUCUUGACAUCCCGAUGCUAUUUCUAGAGAUAGAAAGUUACUUCGGUACAUCGGUGACAGGUGGUGCAUGGUUGUCGUCAGCUCGUGUCGUGAGAUGUUGGGUUAAGUCCCGCAACGAGCGCAACCCCUAUUGUUAGUUGCCAUCAUUCAGUUGGGCACUCUAGCGAGACUGCCGGUAAUAAACCGGAGGAAGGUGGGGAUGACGUCAAAUCAUCAUGCCCCUUAUGACCUGGGCUACACACGUGCUACAAUGGUUGGUACAACGAGUUGCGAGUCGGUGACGGCGAGCUAAUCUCUUAAAGCCAAUCUCAGUUCGGAUUGUAGGCUGCAACUCGCCUACAUGAAGUCGGAAUCGCUAGUAACCGCGGAUCAGCACGCCGCGGUGAAUACGUUCCCGGGCCU